AAUGAACGUUGGCGGCGUGGAUUAGGCAUGCAAGUCGUGCGGAAAGGCCCCGCAAGGGGUACUCGAGCGGCGAAAGGAAUAGUAACACGUAGGUACCUACCCUCAGGACUGGGAUAGCUACGGGAAACUGUAGGUAAUACCAGAUAAUGUUUCCGAACCAAAGGUGUGAUUCCGCCUGGGGAGGGGCCUGCGUCCUAUUAGCUAGUUGGUGAGGUAACGGCCCACCAAGGCUGAGAUGGGUAGCGGGUGUGAGAGCAUGACCCGCAUUACUGGGACUGAGACACUGCCCAGACACCUACGGGUGGCUGCAGUCGAGAAUCUUCGGCAAUGGGCGAAAGCCUGACCGAGCGACGCCGCGUGCGGGAUGAAGGCCCUCGGGUUGUAAACCGCUGUCAGAGGGGAGGAAAUUCCAGGGAGUUCUCUCUUUGGUUUGACCUAUCUUCAGAGGAAGUACGGGCUAAGUUCGUGCCAGCAGCCGCCGUAACAC
rnacentral:rRNA from 1 species